CUGUUCCCGUGGGGACUGGGAGCCGCAGCUUCACUGGCCAUUUACUCGCUCUCCUCUAGAGCUAGAGAUCCUCCAUGCCAGGAGUGACGGUGGCGAGACUGUAGCUCUGGAUCUGCUACUGGUGCCUGUUCCUGUGGGGAUUGCUGUGGCGAUUGAGCGGGAGAUCUCUGGGAGAUCCGGGAGCCACAGCUUCACUGGGCAUUUACUCGACCGCAUCCCUCUCUUG
rnacentral:lncRNA from 1 species